UACGUAGGAUGCAAGCGUUAUCCGGAAUUAUUGGGCGUAAAGCGAACGUAGGCGGUUUUGUAAGUCUGGGGUUAAAGAUCAAGGCUCAACCUUGGGAGUGCCCUGGAAACUACAAGACUGGAGGACGGCAGAGGAAAGUGGAAUUCCCAGUGUAGCGGUGAAAUGCGUAGAGAUUGGGAGGAACACCAGUGGCGAAAGCGACUUUCUGGGCCGUUCCUGACGCUGAGGUUCGAAAGCCAGGGGAGCAAACGGG
rnacentral:rRNA from 1 species